rnacentral:rRNA from 1 species
UACGUAGGGUGCGAGCGUUAAUCGGAAUUACUGGGCGUAAAGCGUGCGUAGGCGGUUCCUCAAGUCCGUUGUGAAAGCCCAAGGCUCAGCCUUGGAAGUGCGCUCGAAACGGCGAGGCUGGAGUGCCGGAGGGGAGAGUGGAAUUCCCGGUGUAGCGGUGAAAUGCGUAGAGAUCGGGAGGAAUACCGGUGGCGAAAGCGACUCUCUGGACGGCAACUGACGCUGAGGCACGAAAGCGUGGGGAGCAAACAGG